GGCGAGAUGGCCGAGCGGUCUAAGGCGCCAGACUAAGGAUUUGGUCCGAAAGGGCGUGGGUUCGAAUCCCACUCUCGUCA
rnacentral:tRNA from 1 species